rnacentral:piRNA from 1 species
UUUUUUUAGCCUACAUUUCCCAAACC